rnacentral:rRNA from 1 species
ACGAACGCUGGCGGCGUGCUUAACACAUGCAAGUCGAACGGAAAGGCCCUGCUUUUGCGGGGUGCUCGAGUGGCGAACGGGUGAGUAACACGUGAGUAACCUGCCCUUGACCUUGGGAUAACUUCAGGAAACUGGGGCUAAUACCGGAUAGGAGCUCCUGCUGCAUGGUGGGGGUUGGAAAGUUUCGGCGGUUGGGGAUGGACUCGCGGCUUAUCAGCUUGUUGGUGGGGUAGUGGCUUACCAAGGCUUUGACGGGUAGCCGGCCUGAGAGGGUGACCGGCCACAUUGGGACUGAGAUACGGCCCAGACUCCUACGGGAGGCAGCAGUGGGGAAUAUUGCACAAUGGGCGGAAGCCUGAUGCAGCAACGCCGCGUGCGGGAUGACGGCCUUCGGGUUGUAAACCGCUUUCGCCUGUGACGAAGCGUGAGUGACGGUAAUGGGUAAAGAAGCACCGGCUAACUACGU